rnacentral:lncRNA from 1 species
GGGGCUAGGACGAAAUUUGAAAAAAUAGGAGGAGACAGGAGUUUUGAGUAAAAAAAAAAGGCAGGAUGAGACACUUACAAAAAAAAAAAGGUCAGGACGACAAUUUAGGUAAAAAAAAGUCAGGAUAAACUAUAAAAAAAAGGCAGGACCGAACAGAGUGAAAAAUAAAAAGGCAGGACAGAGAUUACAGCUAAAAAAAAAUGCAGGACACAAUUUUUCAUCCUAGCCCCCCCCCCUAAAAAUCAAAUGGUAGCUCCCUAAU